rnacentral:rRNA from 1 species
GCAAGUCGAACGGCAGCAUGCCUUGCUUGCAAGGUGAUGGCGAGUGGCGAACGGGGGAGUAACGCGUAGGAAUAUACCUUAGAGAGGGGGACAACUCGAGGAAACUCGAGCUAAUACCGCAUACUGUCUACGGACUAAAGUUGGGGACCUUCGGCCUGACGCUUUAAGAAUAGCCUGCGUCCGAUUAGCUAGUUGGUGGGGUAAAGGCCUACCAAGGCGACGAUCGGUAGCUGGUCUGAGAGGAUGAUC